AUUGAACGCUGGCGGCAGGCCUAACACAUGCAAGUCGAACGGUAACAGGAAGCAACUUGCUGCUUUGCUGACGAGUGGCGGACGGGUGAGUAAUGUCUGGGAAACUGCCCGAUGGAGGGGGAUAACUACUGGAAACGGUAGCUAAUACCGCAUAACGUCGCAAGACCAAAGAGGGGGACCUUAGGGCCUCUUGCCAUCGGAUGUGCCCAGAUGGGAUUAGCUAGUAGGUGGGGUAACGGCUCACCUAGGCGACGAUCCCUAGCUGGUCUGAGAGGAUGACCAGCCACACUGGAACUGAGACACGGUCCAGACUCCUACGGGAGGCAGCAGUGGGGAAUAUUGCACAAUGGGCGCAAGCCUGAUGCAGCCAUGCCGCGUGUAUGAAGAAGGCCUUCGGGUUGUAAAGUACUUUCAGCGGGGAGGAAGGGAGUAAAGUUAAUACCUUUGCUCAUUGACGUUACCCGCAGAAGAAGCACCGGCUAACUCCGUG
rnacentral:rRNA from 1 species